rnacentral:rRNA from 1 species
AGAGUUUGAUCCUGGCUCAGAUUGAACGCUGGCGGCAGGCUUAACACAUGCAAGUCGAGCGGGGGAAGGUAGCUUGCUACUGGACCUAGCGGCGGACGGGUGAGUAAUGCUUAGGAAUCUGCCUAUUAGUGGGGGACAACAUCUCGAGAGGGAUGCUAAUACCGCAUACGUCCUACGGGAGAAAAGCAGGGGAUCUUCGGACCUUGCGCUAAUAGAUGAGCCUAAGUCGGAUUAGCUAGUUGGUGGGGUAAAGGCCUACCAAGGCGACGAUCUGUAGCGGGUCUGAGAGGAUGAUCCGCCACACUGGGGACUGAGACACGGCCCAGACUCCCUACGGGAGGCAGCAGUGGGGGAAUAUUGGGACAAUGGGGGGGAACCCCUGAUCCAGCCAUGCCCGCGUGUGUGAAGAAGGCCUUAUGGUUGUAAAGCACUUUAAGCGAGGAGGAGGCUACUUUAGUUAAUACCUAGAGAUAGUGGACGUUACUCGCAGAAUAAGCACCGGCUAACUCUGUGCCAGCAGCCGCGGUAAUACAGAGGGUGCGAGCGUUAAUCGGAUUUACUGGGCGUAAAGCGUGCGUAGGCGGCUUAUUAAGUCGGAUGUGAAAUCCCCGAGCUUAACUUGGGAAUUGCAUUCGAUACUGGUGAGCUAGAGUAUGGGAGAGGAUGGGUAGAAUUUCCAGGGUGUAGCGGUGA